GCACUCAGAGGGCUUGUAGUCUUGUGCAAUAUUUCCUUUAUUUGUGCAAAGUUGCAGUCACUAUAGUCUGACUGUACCUUUGCAAAAACAAAGAAAAUAUUGCACAAGACUAUAAGCCCUCUGAGUGC